AGCUUUGCGCAGUGGCAGUAUCGUAGCCAAUGAGGUUUAUCCGAGAUACGAUUAUUGCUAAUUGAAAACAAACCAUCAAGUCAAGAAGAGCAUGGAGCAAAGUACUACAAGUCUUGCAAGA
rnacentral:snRNA from 1 species